rnacentral:rRNA from 1 species
UACAGAGGUCUCAAGCGUUGUUCGGAUUCAUUGGGCGUAAAGAGCUCGUAGGCGGUUUGUCGCGUCUGCUGUGAAAACUCGGGGCUCAACCCCGAGCCUGCAGUCGAUACGGGCAGACUAGAGUGCGGUAGGGGAGACUGGAAUUCCGUGGUGUAGCGGUGAAAUGCGCAGAUAUCAGGAGGAACACCGGUGGCGAAGGCGGGUCUCUGGGCCGUAACUGACGCUGGAGGAGCGAAAGCCGUGGGGAGCAAACAGG